rnacentral:rRNA from 1 species
UACGAAGGGUGCAAGCGUUAAUCGGAAUUACUGGGCGUAAAGCGUGCGUAGGCGGUUUGUUAAGUCUGUUGUGAAAGCCCUGGGCUCAACCUGGGAAUGGCAAUGGAAACUGGCGAGCUAGAGUCAGGUAGAGGGUGGUGGAAUUCCCGGUGUAGCGGUGAAAUGCGUAGAGAUCGGGAGGAACAUCUGUGGCGAAGGCGGCCACCUGGACCAUGACUGACGCUGAGGCACGGAAAGCGUGGGGAGCAAACAGGG